rnacentral:tRNA from 1 species
GUUGGUGAUUCAGUGGUAGAAUUCUCAUCUUCCAUGUGGGAGACCUGGGUUCGAUUCCUGGCCAAUGCA